rnacentral:rRNA from 1 species
GACGAACGCUGGCGGCGUGCUUAACACAUGCAAGUCGAACGGAAAGGCCCUGCUUUUGUGGGGUGCUCGAGUGGCGAACGGGUGAGUAACACGUGAGUAACCUGCCCUUGACUUUGGGAUAACUUCAGGAAACUGGGGCUAAUACCGGAUAGGAGCUCCUGCUGCAUGGUGGGGGUUGGAAAGUUUCGGCGGUUGGGGGUGGACUCGCGGCUUAUCAGCUUGUUGGUGGGGUAGUGGCUUACCAAGGCUUUGACGGGUAGCCGGCCUGAGGGGGUGACCGGCCACAUUGGGACUGAGAUAGGGCCCAGACUCCGACGGGAGGCAGCAGUGGGGAAUAUUGCACAAUGGGCGGAAGCCUGAUGCAGCAACGCCGCGUGCGGGAUGACGGCCUUCGGGUUGUAAACCGCUUUCGCCUGUGACGAAGCGUGAGUGACGGUAAUGGGUAAAGAAGCACCGGCUAGCUACGUG